UUUGACUACAAUGUUUAUUCAAGACUGUUUGAUUCUAGUGUGUGUAAAUUUUGACGGUGUUACUUGUACGCAAGUCUUUCAUUUGACGGUUAGCGAUGUUCCAGAUGUUUACGCGCAUUGAUACAAAAGAGGUGCUUCUGUUCUGUGUGGAAUUUAGUCAGUGCAGGGCUGCCAUUGUGAGGUCCCUAGAGGUGUACAGCAAGGUACAUGGGUCUGGUGCAGACUGGUGGUGUCUGAAGUGUGGAAAUCAUCAGUGUCUACAGCAGGAUGCUGAGACAAAACUACCUGCCCCUUGAUGAGAAAAGUAGCUGUGUCUUCCAUACACCCAGAUAUAAACAUAGGUGACAGAGCAAAACUAUUGGCUAUGGCCGAACAUCCAGUUCACUCGGGGUGGGUGGGUCAGGUCUUAAAAUAUUACAGCUGUCAAGCCUCUUGGAAACCCAGACUUCGGGGACUGUGCCUCUGGUACAGUGGGGGCUUGUUCAGCUAAGUUAGAUGGGUUUGCUGGAUGUCAAGGCCACAAAUAAUGUUUCGUUCCUUUUGCUCUUGUUCCUGAUGGUACUUCAGCCCAGCAUAGAGGCAAUGCUGUUAAACUCCUGCUAAUGUGUCUGUUCUGCACUUGUUUUUUCCUCGUACGCCUCGCUGGCAGCAGCCACAUUCUUUUGCAGUGUGGUCUGAUCAGGGUCUGGGAUAUCAAGCAGACCAAAUAUGGGUUAGACAGUAGUAACACCAUACCUGUCCUUUCCCCACUGCAAAGAUUUGGAGGUCACAGGCCCUUUAUACAAUAAGUCUGUGACAAUGUGUGUGCAUGGUGUGUUUAUUAUUCUUUCAAAGAUUUCUCCAAACUUUGAGGUUGUGAGACGUCCUUUCAAAGCUGUCCCAGUUGUCUGGUUCAAUGACUUGCAAGUGCAGAAUUAGAGGCGAUCUGUUGAAUAAGAAGAAGAAUGAUGAGAUGAAUGUUGCAAGCAAUUAACCUGCAAAUACCUUUUCAUUUCUAUUCCAAUGCUGAUAUGGUUUAACUUUACAGCUCUGAUAUAGGUCAUGUUGUCAUAUGGGGAAAAUGAUAACGCAUACAAAGAUAAAAAUGGUCUUUAUUUGACCCUCAUAUCCUGUGAGGAAUGAUGAGAUUGACAGUGACACAGUUCAUAACUUUAUUUUGAAUAUAAAAAUUUAUUCUUUCAACGCUUUCCCGUGUGCAUGCGUGCAUUGCGCCUCCUUCCGACGUAAACGACCUCGACAUCGGACUCCGUGCCGGAGUGGGCCUGCUCGUCCUCCGGUGCCAUGUCAUGCUUGGGCUGUUCGUCAUCUGACCCCGUGUCCGUGUCGGGGUGGGCCUGUGGUACGGUGUCGGAGGUGGCGGGGUACCUCGCGCCUCUGGUGGUGGUGGAGGGUGUGGCGGGGUCUAUGGCGCCCCUUUUGAAGAUAAAAGAAGGAAAUAAUAUACUUAACGUAAAAGCUGUUGCAAAUUUUAACAAUGCACACAGAAGCGAUGUAAAAGGUAGAACUAACUGAUACGAGAUACACAAAAACAUAACAGAAUAAAGAUGAAAACUCAUGGAACAGGGUGUCCAGGGCGCACCACGCCAUAAACCGCACCCACUCCUCGGGGGGUGUUUCUACCACAUGCUGCAUAACGUGCAAACGACGUCUGGUGUUUUCCCUAUAUGAAGAUACAUGAUUAUAAGUUAAGGAGGUGUUUUUAACAACGGUUGGAAAAUGUACAGAGCUAUCUCAGCAUGAUGUUUAAGAGUACAUCUUUAAAACGGUAUCAAACGAAUCGUAUUUACGACAAAAAGAAAAAAAAGAGUGAAAACUCACCGUUCUGGCCUAUAAGAAUGUGGACGAGGUCCCCACAUGCCCUCCCCCCGGUAUAGCCGGUCAUUCUCUGGUCAUGAAGGAUCCGCAUAAGCGGCGCCCUGUCCGAUUGCUUUUUUAACUGUAUUUGUAACAGCUGUAUUCCUAUUAUACAACAAAUAAGACGAACAUUUAUUAAACUGAGCGCACGGGUCGUCAUCGAAGAAAAAUUGAAUUAGUUUUGGCAAAACAGUUUCGA